rnacentral:rRNA from 1 species
AGUGAACGCUGGCGGUAGGCCUAACACAUGCAAGUCGAACGGCAGCACCGUAAGAGCUUGCUCUUACGGGUGGCGAGUGGCGGACGGGUGAGGAAUACAUCGGAAUCUACUUUUUCGUGGGGGAUAACGUAGGGAAACUUACGCUAAUACCGCAUACGACCUACGGGUGAAAGCAGGGGAUCUUCGGACCUUGCGCGAUUGAAUGAGCCGAUGUCGGAUUAGCUAGUUGGCGGGGUAAAGGCCCACCAAGGCGACGAUCCGUAGCUGGUGUGAGAGGAUGAUCGGCGACACUGGAACUGAGACACGGUCCAGACUCCUACGGGAGGCAGCAGUGGGGAAUAUUGGACAAUGGGCGCAAGCCUGAUCCAGCCAUACCGCGUGGGUGAAGAAGGCCUUCGGGUUGUAAAGCCCUUUUGUUGGGAAAGAAAAGCAGCAGGUUAAUACCCCGCUGUUCUGACGGUACCCAAAGAAUAAGCACCGGCUAACUUCGUG